rnacentral:rRNA from 1 species
UACGUAGGUGACAAGCGUUAUCCGGAAUUACUGGGCGUAAAGCGCACGCAGGCGGCUGCGUAAGUCUGACGUGAAAUCUCUCGGCUUAACCGGGAGCGGUCGUUGGAAACUAUGCGGCUUGAGGCGAUGAGAGGGGUGUGGAAUUCCCGGUGUAGUGGUGGAAUGCGUAGAUAUCGGGAGGAACACCAGUGGCGAAGGCGGCUUCCUGGCCUGUUCUUGACGCUGAGGCGCGAAAGCUAGGGGAGCAAACGGG